GACGAACGCUGGCGGCGUGCUUAACACAUGCAAGUCGAACGGAAAGGCCAGUGCUUGCACUGGUGCUCGAGUGGCGAACGGGUGAGUAACACGUGGGUGAUCUGCCUUGCACUCUGGGAUAAGCUUGGGAAACUGGGUCUAAUACCGGAUAGGAACCGUCUUUAGUGUGUUGGUUGGAAAGUUUUUUCGGUGCAAGAUGAGCUCGCGGCCUAUCAGCUUGUUGGUGGGGUAAUGGCCUACCAAGGCGUCGACGGGUAGCCGGCCUGGGAGGGUGUACGGCCACAAUGGGACUGAGAUACGGCCCAGACUCCUACGGGAGGGAAGAGUGGGGGAUAUUGCAAAAUGGGCGGAAGCCCGAUGCCGCGACGCCGGGUGGGGGAUGACGGGCUUCGGGUUGUAAACUCCUUUCGACCGGGAAGAAGCGUUAUGUGACGGUACCUGUAGAAGAAGCACCGGCUAACUACGUG
rnacentral:rRNA from 1 species